GUGUAUGGCCAUGCCACCCUGAACAAGCCCAAUGUCUAAUCUCAGAAGCUAAGCAGGGUCAGGCCUGGUUAGCACUUGGAUGGGAGGCCACCCAAGAAGAUCAAAUGCUGUAGGCA
rnacentral:rRNA from 1 species